AUGGCUGUCGUCAGCUCGUGUCGUGAGAUGUUGGGUUAAGUCCCGUAACGAGCGCAACCCUUAUCCUUAUUUGCCAGCACUUCGGGUGGGAACUCUAAGGAGACUGCCGGUGACAAACCGGAGGAAGGAGAGGAUGACGUCAAGUCAUCAUGGCCCUUACGGCCUGGGCUACACACGUGCUACAAUGGAAAGUACAAAGGGCCGCGAAGCCGCGAGGUGGAGCAAAUCCCAAAAAACUUUUCGUAGUCCGGAUUGGAGUCUGCAACUCGACUCCAUGAAGUCGGAAUCGCUAGUAAUCGCGAAUCAGCAUGUCGCGGUGAAUACGUUCCCGGGCCUUGUACACACCGCCCGUCACACCAUGGGAGCCGACAAGGGCAGAAGUCGCCGAGCUAACCUUCGGGAAGCAGGCGCCCAAGCUGUUGUUGACGACUGGGGUGAAGUCGUAACAAGGUAGCCGUACCGGAAGGUGCGGCUGGAUCACCUCCUUUCUAAGGAGUACAUACCAUCGUCGUUGUCGGCCAUUAUGUGUCGACCGGUGAUGGUCACUCCCAGUUAGCGCACUGGUUAGUUGGUCACGUUCCCAGGCUCGAGUUACUCGAGUCCUGGUAACGGUGACGUUCCGUUCUCUAUCCCGUUUUGAGGGAGCGCUACGCGCUCGUCCUCAGUGGUCCUAUCCCACCUCCGUUGCGCACUCGAUGCGCCUCGGUGGUGCCAUCGGACCACAGGCCACGGCCGAUGGCGAACUUCCCACCCGGGAAGGAUCGCAACGCCGUAGCUGGCCCCAGGGCCGGCAGAUGCCUCUUGAGAACUGCACAGCGAACACGAGCAUCUUCAUCAAUUGUCGAUGUAUUUGUAAUUUCCAAGCUACUAAGAGCCAACGGUGAAUGCCUUGGCGACUACUACCGAAGAAGGACGUGGGUGGCUGCGAAAAGCCACGGUGAGCUGUCUACCGAGCUUUGACCCGUGGAUGUCCGAAUGGGGAAACCCGG
rnacentral:sRNA from 1 species